UACGAAGGGGGCUAGCGUUGCUCGGAAUCACUGGGCGUAAAGGGUGCGUAGGCGGGUCUUUAAGUCAGGGGGGAAAUCCUGGAGCUCAACUCCAGAACUGCCUUUGAUACUGAAGAUCUUGAGUCCGGGAGAGGUGAGUGGAACUGCGAGUGUAGAGGUGAAAUUCGUAGAUAUUCGCAAGAACACCAGUGGCGAAGGCGGCUCACUGGCCCGGUAUUGACGCUGAGGCACGAAAGCGUGGGGAGCAAACAGG
rnacentral:rRNA from 1 species